GCAAGUUUAACAAUAACAACAACAAUAGAAGUAGCAAUUUAACAAUAACAAUAACAAUAGAAGUAGCAAGUUUAACAAUAACAAUAACAAUAGAAGUAGCAAGUUUAACAAUAACAAUAACAAU